UCCUUUGCUUUAGCUUUUGCUUUUUUUUCCCCUUUCUUUGGUGAGUUCACGUCUGCUGCGAUGUCUCAGCACUUCCUUGUUCGGUUAGUUCCUUGCGAGUUGCGACCAGACAUGAAGAACAAGUUUCAGAGCAGGAAAAAGAAAAAAGUACAGGGAGUGAGAGAUCAUUACCCCGGUUCUACUUUGGUUCUGGUUUUCAUCUUUUGACGUGGAUCUAUGCUGAUAAGGAUGGUGCGAUUCCUUGUAUGGCCCGGGGAAAAAAAACUUAGUGGUCCAAUUAAUGUGCUACAGAGUUGGGAAUUGGGAUCCCACUCUCAUCAAGUAAUUGACUAAAGCAUUAGGACCGCAAUUCAACCAUCCACAGAACUCCCAAACAGUUACUUGGACAGUCAAGAGAGCCUACAACUUCCACUUUCAGAGGGCAUCUGAAAUUGGUGGCUCCUGUCUUGGCAAUAAUCCAAGGAAUUCAGGAAUAAAAGGCAUCAUCAGAUACCACCAAAGCAGAGUUAUCGUUAUGUACUGAGGCUUAGGGCAGAACUACUCAGUACUCCAAGGUCUUAAGAUCUUCUCAUCACUAAACAAAUAUAAAGGUUGGAAAUGGAGGUAGAUUUUAUGGUGGACGAAUGGAGAUGCAAAGGAACCUUGAUUUUGAAUGUUUUGACAUGAGGGUGGACUAGGAGGUGGACUAAAGCAUGAAGACUGCAAUUCCUAGCCAGUAACCUGAAUAUCUCAUCAUGUGGGCUAGGAGGUCAGAAAAUGUAAUGGAUGAUACAUGUGUAAAGGAUGGAGUAACUAAGGGUGAACUGUGGGAAAGCUUUGCCAAUCAAGGGUAGGCAGUAUCAUGGUAUUUUCAGUUACUUGUGCUUGUCACAGUAUUGCAUGGACUCUCAUGAAGUGGAUAAAGUGUCUGUGUCAGACAUUUGUAGGAAUCCGACACUCCAUGGAUUCUAGAGGGACACUUGCACAUAGUAUUUUCCUUUCUUUCCUUGCUUAUUUGAGAUAAAUGAACAGCUAAUGUAUACAAUCAAUAUCAUUUUUCCUAGAAAAUGGUAUUAACAGGGAAAAAACUUUUACAUCUUUUUCUAUUGGCAUUUAAUGUUAGAAUUCAAAUAUAAUAAUGAUUUUAAUAAACUCAAUGCAUUAGAAUUUAACAUUUGUCACUCCCAUCUCCAAGGCAUUAUAUGAAAUCAUCAAUAUGUUCUGCACUGUUCUUCCUCUAAUACCCAAAGGAACUGACCUCCAUCUUCUCAUUACUUCCACCAAUGAGUUUGACAUUGAUGGGUUCAUGCCAAAGAAAACCUUCAAUGAAGAUGGUAUUCUUCCUCCUCUUCACAAAGGGAUCAGAUCUACUCUGGUUCUAUUCCGAAUCUGAUUUGGAUAUCCUUUUAACCAUAAUCGGAUUGGAUCAGAUUUCAAAAUGUGAUCCAUUUAUUAAUCAAAUAAAAUUUGGAUUUUUCUUGAUCUGAUCAACUAGUACCAUAAUCUAUCAACUAUUAGACCCUUUUUAAAAUUCUUUAGGCUCAAGUAAGAUUUGGAAAAUUUUAAAUCAGAAAUCCAGAUACAUAACUGAAUCAAAUUCAAAUAUAUGUUUCACAUAUCUAUUGGCUACCAAAUCAGAUUAGACAUACUAGAUUCUUACUGGAUCGGAUAAGGAUAUACUCCUAUUCAAAUUCAACCAAUCCAUUUGCACCCCUACAAAUAAAAGACUUCUUUUUGUUGAGAAAAAUGCCUUCCAGUUGUCAUCUAAAAUCUUUUUAUUGCUUCCAAAGAAAACACCUCGCAUAUCCCAUCUUCAAACCCUACUUAAGGGGACCAUGUUGACAAUCUAAUAAUGCAUCCAGUAUAAACAAGGUCUUUACUAGUAAAUGACUAGUCAAUUGAGGGCCAUGCCAAAUGCAUCAUUAAAUAGUUGGCCAAUACCCAUGAUGCAGUUGCCUGGAAUGGCUAAGCAUCAACUAGGUCAACUAACAAUAGUUAUUCAAGAAGUUUUCUUUUGGUAGUUAACCAUAAAGUCAUUUUAAUGUUUAUUUUUCUAGCUGAUCUUAAACUUUUAAAUAUAGUAUUAUGUAUGUUUCUAUGUUGUCGUGCAAGGCAAUUGCUUUAAGAACUUGUAAUAGCACAUGGGUCUGGUGAGAGUAUAUAAAAUAGAAAUAAGGCCUAAAAAUAGAAGAGAAAUAGUGGAGCUCUUUAAGGUCUUCUUUCAAUUGGUGGUAUGCUACCAAUGCAGAGUUUUCAUAAACAAGGAGACCACAUCAAAUAGUCAAGCACACUCUCUUAAGUACAAAUACCAUUGCCUCCUACCUCAGUCAAUCCAAGCUUCUCAUUUAGUCAUAUCUUUGAAUUUUGUUCCAUAAUCAUAGGUAGGACCUUAGGAUAGGAAGAUUUAAGUUAAAUAUUGCCCAAUUCAUUGGGAGAUGGUCUCAUCGGGGGGAGGGGGAGUGACAGUGAAUAUGGCAUCUCUCCCAGGUAGUUUUUGUUAUUCACCAUAUUGGUCAUGAUCACUCAUGACAAUUAUCUUUUUCCAUUGGAUAGCUUCAAUUUCAGGUUCUUGCAUUGGUCAAUCCCAUGUCUUGAAGGUUGAUAGUUGUAUAUUUCCUUUGCCACCUUGCUGUAUUAAUGAAUUCAUUUUGAUUGUCAAUCAGAUAAAAACUAUCUUGCUUAUUUAAAUCUUCUUUUUGCUAUUCAAAUAGUGAACACUAACAGCUAAAAGGGUGGGAUAAGUUGUUACAAAAUGAUUGAACAGAUCACCAUACAGUGCAUCUUUAUAGGAUGAUUAAUUCCUAUGGCAUUCUUUAUAGGAUGAUUACCCAUAUUGAAGCUUGAAAAUGGAUGUAUUUUUCACCACUACAAUUUCAUUAUAGUUUGAUUGUUAAGAAUAUGGUAGAUCAGGUGUGAUCACAAGUUCACAAUAGUUUGAUUGGUCUAAUUUGUGGAUUGGUUGAUAUUUGUAUAUCGCCAUCAUCAUCAUCAUCCAAGCCUUACCCCAACUAUAUGGGGUUGACUACAUGAAUCCUUUCCACCAGCUCAUUCCAUUUAAUGUGAUACCUGAAAUAUUUUAUUGUUAGUGCAAUACAUCCAAAUGACGGUACAUUAUACUAACAAUGGAGGUUGUUACAUAAUCUGUAUUGGUCACGCAGUUCAAUUGGGUCAACAAUCAACAUGGAAAUUUUCUAAGUGGACCAAAAUUUUUGUUAGGCAAAUUUGAACAUGGAAGUUCUUUAAGUAGACCAAGUUUAUUGCUAAGUCAUUCUUAUUUUCCACUCAUUCUGUAAAUAUUACCAUAGUGUAGGGCCUUGAUCCUGACAUAGUACAGGAAAGAACAGCAUGCCAUUAUUUUAUGCCAGAUUAAUGGUUUGGAAAAGAUUGUGUUUGGUCUGUCUGUGCCUGAAAGAAGUUAAUUGAGUUUUCACCCGUGCAGUUCCCUGUAAUCCAGGCAAUGUGUAGCACUAAUCCAUGAAAGUGAAACAAAUUUUGCAACAUUGCAAUGGAUUUUGGGAAUGAUAGUUCCUUUCUGUCGCCAGAUGCUUAAAGACAAAAUAUGUUUUUUAGAAUAAAUUAUGACUGCAAAAGCUAAUUCAAUAUCAGUAAAUCUUUGAUUUUUUUUUUCUGGUUGGGAGGGGGGAGGUUUUUUGAUUUACUUGUUCAUUAUUUGGUUCCUUAGGUUUCCCCAUGCAUCAUUGAUGAUUAUUAUUUGUUCAUCCUAGAAGUUGUAGGGCAUUAUCCUCUUCUUGGAUGCUGAAAAUUGUUUUUGGAUGCUGGAGCCAUGGAGCUUCAUUAUAAACCAAACCACAGAUGGUUGGUAAAAGGUCAUUAGAAACACAGGAAAGGCCAUUUCCUGAACUUGGACUUUUGAACUACAUAGAGUGCUCAGAAGGGUCCCUCUUGAUAUCUUGUAAGUAGCACAAGAGCAAUAUCUUUCAUCCAGGUAUGGAUGGCACUAAUGAAGUAUGGUUUUGUGAUUUUGUCCUGUGUUUUCUCUUGUUUGCUUGUGACAAAAUUGUAUUUUGGACUUCAAAUAUAUUGAUCUACUUAUCCUUAGUCUUCUUCUUGCUGCUAGAAUACCACUAUUUUCUUUUGUCUUCAUUGAAUAUUGAUUAGUCCACAAGAAAAUUGCCCAUAUUCAAGUCAAUUUCCAACAGUACCUGUCUAAUCAUUGUAUGCAGAAAAAUAAAUGAAAAUAAGCAUGAAACAAGAAUGGAGGGCAUGCAGACAAAAAAAUUUGAUACAAGGAUCUUGAGCAGUAGGAUUUUUCAAUUGGAAUAAUAUUUUCUUCUUGCUAAUUGCAGCAUGCUCAGGCUCUGAAAUGUGUGUAAAAGUGCAACUUGGGAGAUUAAUCCAAUAUGAAGCUAACCUGAUUUACCAGUAAUUUUAACUAUACAAGGAGGUCAGUGGCAUGAUGGCCAUAAAGCAGAAGAUAUACUAACCACUCUGGAGUUCCUUGAUCUGAAUACAAGGAAGGUGGCAUGUCAUUAGAAUGACCCAAGGUAUUGCCAUCUGAAAGUCUCAAAUCAAGGGGAAGUUAAGGUCGAAGUGAGUUAAUUUGGAAUCCUUACAAAGAAAAGGGUUUAUGUCAGAAAAAUUUUGGAGAUUUCACAUGGUAAUUAGUUUAUUUUUGAGUAUGGAUUUGGAGAAGAAAUGUUUUUUUUCCCAAUGUUGUGACUCUGAUUUCAAUGGUUUAUUUAGUCAUGAAUGUAUAGUGCUACCAUG